rnacentral:rRNA from 1 species
UAACGUAGACGAAAGUUACGCUAAUACCGCAUAUUCUGUGAGCAGGAAAGCAGGGGGAUCGCAAGACCUUGCGCUGAUUGAGCGGCCGAUAUCAGAUUAGCUAGUUGGUGAGGUAAAGGCUCACCAAGGCGACGAUCUGUAGCGGGUCUGAGAGGAUGAUCCGCCACACUGGAACUGAGACACGGUCCAGACUCCUACGGGAGGCAGCAGUGGGGAAUUUUGGACAAUGGGCGCAAGCCUGAUCCAGCCAUGCCGCGUGAGUGAAGAAGGCCUUCGGGUUGUAAAGCUCUUUCGGCCGGGAAGAAAUCGCACAGGUUAAUACCCUGUGUGGAUGACGGUACCGGAAUAAGAAGCACCGGCUAACUACGUG